rnacentral:tRNA from 4 species
GGGUGAUUAGCUCAGCGGUAGAGCAGCUGACUCUUAAUCAGUUGGUCGCUGGUUCGAAUCCGGCAUCACCCACCA